GAAUAUGCAUUUGGUACUAGGGAUGACUUAACUAUUAUUGCUAAUAUGAAAGUUGUUCUUUACCAAUAGGAGAGAAUAAAAUUUAGAAGUUUUUGGAUUAUUUUCUAUGUUAUUGUUUUCCUUUAAAUGAUUUUCAAAGGGUCACUCUCACAUUCUCUUGAAAUGAAAUAUUUGUGGGAGACUUGAUGAAGAAGAUGAUAAUGAAUAACAAAAUUCAUCUCGACCAACACUAUUUGAGAGUCCACCCCAUGGAGAAGUAUGGAAGCUGCCUUUCAAUACUAGUUUUGUUCUUGGAGAAUUGGAUGGUAUAGAGCUUAACUACGUUAAGUCAUCUACUUAGGUUGUUCUUGGUGGUGGAAUAUGGAGAUUUCCUAUGAAUGCUAGACUUGAUCUUUUUUUUUUAUGUUAUGUUGUAGUUGUUAUCGUCAUUUGCUCUAUUUUAUUUGUUUUAAAAUAUCUAUUUUCUUAAUUGUUCUGUACUUUCAACCAGAUUUAAUGAUCAAUAGAUUUUUUUUUCUUAUUUUUUCUAUACUAUUAUUUAAGAUGUGAUUUUGCAUAUUUGUCUUGUUCUCCACAGUUUUUUUUCCUUAUCUUAAAAAAAAGUUUUACUAAAGUUGUUAGACAAAGAACACACCAUAAAAACAAUAACCCAACCAUUUAGUUUAUCAUGUUUCUCCACAACUUUAGUAAAUCUUUAUAGCAGAAAUGAUGCUUUUGGUACUGGGGAUAACUUAAUUUUUAUUGUUAAUAUGAAAUUUGUUCUUUUGCCAAAUGAAAGAAUCAAAUUUAGAAGUUUUUGGAUUGUUUUAUAUACUACUGUUUUCCUUGUAAUUGGUUUUCAAAGGGUUACUCUUACAUUCUCUUGAACGGAAAUCUUUGUGGGAGACUUGCUGAAGAAUAUGAUAAUGAAUCAUAAAAUUCAUCUCGACCAACACUAAUUGCGAGCGCACUCCAUGGAAUACUAUGGAGGUUGCCUUUGAAUGCUAGUUUUGUUCUUCGAGAAUUGGAUGGUAUAAAGCUUAACUACAUUAUAUCAUCAACUUAUGUUUCUCUUGGUGGUGGAAUAUGGAGAUUGCCUAUAAAUACUAGACUUGUUCUAUUUUUCUAUGUUGUAGUUGUUAUCGUCGUUUGCUCUAUUUUGUUUGUUUUAAAAUAUGUAUUUUCCUAAUCGUUGUGUACUUUCAACCAUAUUUAAUGACCAGUAGAUUUUGUUUUUCUUAUUCUUUCUAUAAUAUUAUUUAAUAAUUGAUUUUGCUGAUUUGUAAUGUUC
rnacentral:lncRNA from 1 species